rnacentral:rRNA from 2 species
ACACCCAGCUCCAUUCCGAACCUGGCAGUUAAGCUUCUCUUCGCCGAUGAUACUGCACUUUUCAAGUGUGGGAAUGUAGGUCGAUGCAGGGA